AACGCUAGCUACAGGCUUAACACAUGCAAGUCGAGGGGAAACGAUAGAGAAAGCUUGCUUUUUCUAGGCGUCGACCGGCGCACGGGUGAGUAACGCGUAUCCAACCUGCCCACCACUUGGGGAUAACCUUGCGAAAGUAAGACUAAUACCCAAUGAUAUCUCUAGAAGACAUCUGAAGGAGAUUAAAGAUUUAUCGGUGAUGGAUGGGGAUGCGUCUGAUUAGCUUGUUGGCGGGGUAACGGCCCACCAAGGCGACGAUCAGUAGGGGUUCUGAGAGGAAGGUCCCCCACAUUGGAACUGAGACACGGUCCAAACUCCUACGGGAGGCAGCAGUGAGGAAUAUUGGUCAAUGGGCGAGAGCCUGAACCAGCCAAGUAGCGUGCAGGAUGACGGCCCUAUGGGUUGUAAACUGCUUUUAUAAGGGAAUAAAGUGAGCCUCGUGAGGCUUUUUGCAUGUACCUUAUGAAUAAGGACCGGCUAAUUCCGUGCCGGCAGCCGCGGUAAUACGGAAGGUCCGGGCGUUAUCCGGAUUUAUUGGGUUUAAAGGGAGCGUAGGCCGGAGAUUAAGCGUGUUGUGAAAUGUAGACGCUCAACGUCUGCACUGCAGCGCGAACUGGUUUCCUUGAGUACGCACAAAGUGGGCGGAAUUCGUGGUGUAGCGGUGAAAUGCUUAGAUAUCACGAAGAACUCCGAUUG
rnacentral:rRNA from 1 species